UGGCCUCCUAAAUUUGAAUUAUUGUCUUUAUGCCAGGUGGAACACCUUUGCAAUCUUAUCAAGCUUUACGCUAACUGGCACUCUUACUUGAUCCCAUAUUACUCCUUCGAACAAUUUGUGCGCAAAGUUGAGGAAGUUGGGGCCAGUAAUCGUGUUAGAAUAAACCUCUUUCUUCCUUUAAGGAUUUGUUUCCAUACUGUGGGGCAGCAGGAUCUGAGUCCCACUAUGAGGGAUUGA
rnacentral:rRNA from 1 species